rnacentral:rRNA from 1 species
AAGGAACGCUGGCGGCAUGCCUAACACAUGCAAGUCGAACGAGACCUUCGGGUCUAGUGGCGCACGGGUGCGUAACGCGUGGGAACCUGCCCUUAGGUUCGGAAUAACUCCCCGAAAGGGGUGCUAAUACCGGAUAAUGUCUUCGGACCAAAGAUUUAUCGCCUUUGGAUGGGCCCGCGUUGGAUUAGCUAGUUGGUAGGGUAAAAGCCUACCAAGGCGACGAUCCAUAGCUGGUCUGAGAGGAUGAUCAGCCACACUGGGACUGAGACACGGCCCAGACUCCUACGGGAGGCAGCAGUGGGGAAUAUUGGACAAUGGGCGAAAGCCUGAUCCAGCAAUGCCGCGUGAGUGAUGAAGGCCUUAGGGUUGUAAAGCUCUUUUACCCGGGAUGAUAAUGACAGUACCGGGAGAAUAAGCUCCGGCUAACUCCGUG